GAUGAACGCUGGCGGCGUGCCUAAUACAUGCAAGUCGAGCGGUAAGGCCCUUCGGGUACGACGAGCGGCGGACGGCUGAGUAACACGUAGGAACGUACCCCAAACUGAGGGAUAAGCACCAGAAAUGGUGUCUAAUACCGCAUGUGAUCUUCGGAUUAAAGCUUCGGCGGUUUGGGAACGGCCUGCGCAUGAUUAGCUUGUUGGUGAGGUAAUUGCUCACCAAGGCGACGAUCAUUAGCUGGUCUGAGAGGAUGACCAGCCAGACUGGAACUGAGAACGGUCCAGACUCCUACGGGAGGCAGCAGUAGGGAAUUUUCCACAAUGGGCGAAAGCCUGAUGGAGCAACGCCGCGUGCAGGAUGAAUGUCUUCGGAUUGUAAACUGCUUUUAUAUGUGACGAUAAUGACGGUAGCAUAUGAAUAAGGAUCGGCUAACUCCGUG
rnacentral:rRNA from 1 species